rnacentral:rRNA from 1 species
CAGUAGCCACGGGAAUACGAGGGGAGCUAGCGUUAUUCGGAAUUACUGGGCGUAAAGCGCACGCAGGCGGCUUUGUAAGUUAGAGGUGAAAGCCCAGAGCUCAACUCUGGAAUUGCCUUUAAGACUGCAUCGCUUGAAUCCAGGAGAGGUGAGUGGAAUUCCGAGUGUAGAGGUGAAAUUCGUAGAUAUUCGGAAGAACACUAGUGGCGAAGGCGGCUCACUGGACUGGUAUUGACGCUGAGGUGCGAAAGCGUGGGGAGCAAACAGGAUUAGAUACCCCCGUAGUCCCUGUCUCUUAUAC